GACGAACGCUGGCGGCGUGCUUAACACAUGCAAGUCGAACGGAAAGGCCCUGCUUGCAGGGUACUCGAGUGGCGAACGGGUGAGUAACACGUGGGUGAUCUGCCCUGCACUUCGGGAUAAGCCUGGGAAACUGGGUCUAAUACCGGAUAGGAGCCAUUUUUAGUGUGAUGGUUGGAAAGUUUUUUCGGUGUAGGAUGAGGUCGCGGCCUCUCAGCUUGUUGGUGGGGUAAUGGCCUACCAAGGCGGCGACGGGUAGCCGGCCUGAGAGGGUGGACGGCCACAUUGGGACUGAGAUACGGCCCAGACUCCUACGGGAGGCAGCAGUGGGGAAGAUUGAACAAUGGGCGCAAGACUGAUGCAGCGACGACGCGUGGGGGAUGACGGCCUUCGGGUUGUAAACUCCUUUCGCUAGGGACGAAGCUUAUUGUGACGGUACCUAGAUAAGAAGCACCGGCUAACUACGUG
rnacentral:rRNA from 1 species